UACAGAGGUGGCUAGCGUUGUUCGGAAUUACUGGGCGUAAAGGGCGCGUAGGCGGCUUGGUCAGUCCCGUGUGAAAUCCCUCGGCUCAACUGAGGAACUGCACGGGAAACUGCCUGGCUUGAGUUCGGGAGAGGGAAGCGGAAUUCCGGGUGUAGCGGUGAAAUGCGUAGAUAUCCGGAGGAACACCGGUGGCGAAGGCGGCUUCCUGGACCGACACU
rnacentral:rRNA from 1 species